rnacentral:rRNA from 1 species
GCAGUCGAGCGGACCUUUGGAGCUUGCUCCAUUGGUUUAGCGGCGGACGGGUGAGUAACACGUGGGCAACCUGCCCUGCAGAUCGGGAUAACUCCGGGAAACCGGUGCUAAUACCGAAUAGUUUGCGGCCUCUCCUGAGGCUGCACGGAAAGACGGUUUCGGCUGUCACUGCAGGAUGGGCCCGCGGCGCAUUAGCUAGUUGGUGGGGUAAUGGCCCACCAAGGCGACGAUGCGUAGCCGACCUGAGAGGGUGAUCGGCCACACUGGGACUGAGACACGGCCCAGACUCCUACGGGAGGCAGCAGUAGGGAAUCUUCCGCAAUGGACGAAAGUCUGACGGAGCAACGCCGCGUGAGUGACGAAGGUUUUCGGAUCGUAAAACUCUGUUGUGAGGGAAGAACAAGUACCAAGUAACUACUGGUACCUUGACGGUACCUCACCAGAAAGCCACGGCUAACUACGUGCCAGCAGCCGCGGUAAUACGUAGGUGGCAAGCGUUGUCCGGAAUUAUUGGGCGUAAAGCGCGCGCAGGCGGUCCCUUAAGUCUGAUGUGAAAGCCCACGGCUCAACCGUGGAGGGUCAUUGGAAACUGGGGGACUUGAGUGCAGAAGAGGAAAGUGGAAUUCCAUGUGUAGCGGUGAAAUGCGUAGAGAUGUGGAGGAACACCAGUGGCGAAGGCGACUUUCUGGUCUGUAACUGACGCUGAGGC